rnacentral:rRNA from 1 species
AGAUAASUCGUAACAUAGUANGUGUACUGGAAAGUGUAUCUGGAAUUACAU